UGAAUACGAGACGCUAAGGCGUCGAAGUAGUGUAUGUCAUACUUCCAAGAAAAGCUUGCACUGUCAUAAGUAAAAAAUGCCUGUACCAUAACCGACACAGGUGGGUAGGUAGAGUAUACUAAGGGGCGCGAGAUAACUCUCUCUAAGGAACUCGGCAAAAUAACUCCGUAACUUCGGGAGAAGGAGUACCUUAUUCUAUAAGGUUGCAAUAACAAGAUCCAAGCAACUGUUUAUCAAAAACACAGGUCUCCGCUAAGUCGUAAGACGAUGUAUGGGGGCUGACGCCUGCCCAGUGCCAGAAGGUUAAAGAAGUCGGUUAGCAUUAGCGAAGCUGGUAACUGAAGCCCUGGUGAACGGCGGCCGUAACAAUAACGGUCCUAAGGUAGCGAAAUUCCUUGUCGGGUAAGUUCCGACCCGCACGAAAGGCGUAAUGAUUUGGAUACUGUCUCGGAGAGGGGCUCGGUGAAAUAGACUUGUCUGUGAAGAUGCGGACUACCUGCACCAGGACAGAAAGACCCUAUGAAGCUUUACUGUAACUUGAAAUUGAAAUUGGACUUUAUUCGCGCAGUAUAGGUGGGAGGUGUUGAUUAUAAUCUUGCGGGAUUAUUGGAGCCAUCAGUGAGAUACCACUCUUGUAAUGUUAGAUUUCUAACUUUGAAUCAUUAUCUGGUCAAAGGACAGUCUCAGGCGGGCAGUUUGACUGGGGCGGUCGCCUCCCAAACGGUAACGGAGGCGUACAAAGGUUUCCUCUGAACGGGUAGAAAUCGUAUCUAGAGUGUAAAGGCAUAAGGAAGCUUGACUGUGAGACCUACAAGUCGAACAGGGACGAAAGUCGGUCUUAGUGAUCUGACGGUACUGAGUGGAAAGGCCGUCACUCAACGGAUAAAAGUUACUCUAAGGAUAACAGGCUGAUCUCCCCCAAGAGUUCACAUCGACGGGGAGGUUUGGCACCUCGAUGUCGGCUCAUCGCAUCCUGGGGCGGUAGUACGUCCCAAGGGUUGGGCUGUUCGCCCAUGAAAGCGGUACGCGAGCUGGGUUCAGAACGUCGUGAGACAGUUCGGUCCAUAUCCGGUGUAGGCGUUAGAAUAUUGAGAGGAGCCUUCUUUAGUACGAGAGGACCGAGAAGGACAUACCUCUGGUGUACCAGUUAUCGUGCCAACGGUAAACGCUGGGUAGCUAUGUAUGGAGUGGAUAACCGCUGAAAGCAUCUAAGUGGGAAGCCCACCUCAAGAUAAGUAUUCC
rnacentral:rRNA from 1 species